rnacentral:rRNA from 1 species
AUGCCGCGUGUGUGAAGAAGGCCUGCGGAUUGUAAAGCACUUUCACCGGUGAGGAAAAGCGUCGGGUUAAUACCUCGGCGUCUUGACGUUACCCGAAGAAGAAGCGCCGGCCAACUUCGUGCCAGCAGCCGCGGUAACACGAAGGGCGCAAGCGUUAAUCGGAAUCACUGGGCGUAAAGGGCACGCAGGCGGUCAGGUAAGUCGGGUGUGAAAGCCCUGGGCUCAACCCAGGAAUGGCAUCCGAUACUGCUUGGCUAGAGUCCGGUAGAGGGCAGUGGAAUUCCCGGUGUAGCGGUGAAAUGCUUAGAUAUCGGGAAGAACACCCGUGGCGAAGGCGACUGCCUGGACCGAGACUGACGCUCAUGUGCUAAAGCUUGGGGAGCAGAGAGGAUUAGAUUCCCUCGCAGUCCACGCCGUAAACGUUGAGGACUAGCCGUUGGCCCUUUUCGAAAGGCAUGGGGCGUAACUAACUCGUUUAGUCCUCCGCCUGGGGAAAACCGCCGCAAGGCUAACACUCAAUGGGAUUGGCCGGGGGCCCGCCAGAAGCGGUG